rnacentral:lncRNA from 1 species
CUUAAUCACAUGCUUUUCUAAACAAAAACCUCAAACUUCCUAAUUUUUCAUGUUGAAAUCAUUCCUAGUACAUCCUGGACUCCAACCCUUCCCUUCUUCUUCACUGGAGACCCUUAUUUUCUUUAAAACUUACUGAUUUUUUUCCUCUGGUUCUUUUCACUUUAAAAAGACAUGCAAGAUACUUUUGUUUCAUGAAAGUUACAAGCAGUGUUGCUGUUUAAAAUGUGCUACAAGCUCCUUGAGCUCAGCUAAUAAAGGCCACAGAAUGAAAGAAAGUUAAAUAUGAAUGUAAGAGGAGACCUAAAUGAAGGGCUAGCUUGUACAUCUCACAGAUGACCUUCUGGAAAUGAGCAAGUGGAAAAUCCUUUUUAAAGCAAAUGGGAAUAGCUCUAUGAGAAGAAGCCGUUUGCUCUGUCCUUUCCCCAAGACUAAUGAAGAGCCACUCAACAUCUUCUUCCCACCUCUGUGGCAAUUGGGUAUCAUCCUUCCUUGCCUUGCAGAGGAGCAAGUGCCGAGUAGGCAGCUACCCCAAAACGCAUUGAACAGAGGAACACAGCAGUCCGAAUAACAGUCUGCAUAUUCUCAUUUUACCAGAGUAUUCCUACGUCUCCUAUGAUACCUGCUGUUCAUAAAAUGUUACCUCAAGAUACCUGGAAUAACCC